GGUUGACCUGCAGGAUGUCCCAGGAUGGUCACUUGGUAGCGGUACUGUCCGGUAAUCUAACGGUGGAGCAACGGUUGGAACGAACGUUUUGUCCAGGGGUAUCGACGUCGAACAGGUGACCAUUGUCGUCAACUUCGACCUACCGAUGGAUUAGCAGGGACGAGCCGAUUGCGAAACGUAUCUACAUCGAAUUAGACGCACCGGUAGAUUCGGUAAGUGUGACUCAUUCUUGUGAUCCUAUAGAUUGUAUUUCUUCCCACUUCUUUAACAGAACGGAAUCACCAUCAACUUAGUGGGCAGUGAUCGAAGCAUGAUGAUUUGCAGAUCAAUCAAAAAACACUUCCGGAAAAAGAUUCAGUUGCUAGACGCGGAGAACUCGGACGAAAUUGAAAAGAUCGCACCGUAAAGUGUUUUCGACCAGCUACUGGUCAUACUUGUUUUGAUUCUGAAUUUAUAAUUUUAUAUUUUUUUAAUUUACAAAUGUAACCAACAGGGUAUCGCAAGCUAAUAAAUUUACAAUUACAAUUACAAUCUCUA